UUCAGUUCAACCCCUCUUCCAGCUGGAAUCGUCUCUCAAUUUGGCUGUUCUCAACUCCCACUCCUCCGCCGCUCUCUCCGCCGUCUGCAAUGGUGGAAAUUGACGAGCUAACGUUCCCAGAGGACGAUGAAAGAAGCAGAGUGUUUACGCAGCUAAAAGCAUACUGCUUUGAGCUUCUGGAGCUUCUCCAAAACCCUAAGAAGCACUCCUCUGCUCUCUCUUCUCUGCUCCAUUUCCUUCGCCAGUCUCCGCCUCAUGCUCUCCAGCCCUUCUUCGACUACACGUUGUUUCCGCUGCUGCUUCUAUUGGAUGCAGCUGUUGACUGUAGAACCUCAAAGAAGCUUGGUUCUGAAGAAAAAUUUGUGAGUCAUAAUGUCCCAAAAAUGCCCCAAAAAGUGAGUGAUAGUGUGGCUGAAGGUGUGCUUCAGUGCCUGGAAGAACUGCUCAAGAAGUGUCUUUUAGGAUCUGUAGAUCAGUUGGUUGUAGUACUGAAAAAGUUGACUUAUGGGGCUUUGCUUUCUCCAUCUGAUGCGUCAGAAGAGUUUCGUGAAGGAAUUAUUAAGUGUUUCAGGGAAUUGCUUCUGAAUUUACUUCCAUGCUCUGAUGAGUCUUGUGCAUGUAAACGAAUCUUUGGUGUGCCUAUGCUUUUAGAAAACAGAGACUUGAAAGCUCCACUCAGUAGAACGUCAAAGUAUGAUUCAGAACCAGAUGAAUGUUUGCUUGCAUUUCUACAGUCACAAACUGCUUCUGCAGCUGUUGGACACUGGCUAUCACUUCUUCUCAAAGCUGCAGAUAAUGAGGCUGCACGAGGACAUCUAGGUAGUGCAAAGCUUCGGAUUGAAGCCUUUAUGACCCUACGUAUGCUUGUUGCUAAGGUUGGUACUGCUGAUGCGUUAGCCUUCUUUUUACCUGGUGUUGUUAGUCAAUUUGCCAAAGUUUUGCAUGCCUCAAAAACAAUGACCAGUGGGGCUGCUGGAAGUGGGGAUGCAAUUGAUCAGGCAAUUAGAGCUUUGGCUGAGUAUCUGAUGAUAGUUCUGCAGGAUGAUGCUAACUUAACUACACUUGAUAUGUCUAUAACUCUUAGUUCUGACUUAACUUUAAAAAAGAAUGAAUCUACACAAUCGUUCCUGGAUGAGCUUCGUAAGUUGCCUGUUAAGGCGCAUGGUCAAAGUAAAAUGAUAUUGGAAGAUUCGAGUGAUAAAGUGAUUACAACUACUUCCAACUCUGAGAAGAAAACUGAUUCUGGCAAAGGAGAUGGAUCUUUGCACGUGGAUCGUACAAGUGAUUGGAUUGAGAAAACUUCAAUGCAUGUGGAUAAACUCUUAGGUGCAACUUUUCGACAUAUUUGCAUUCAUCCAGCAAAAAAAGUGAGACAAGGUCUCCUGGCUUCCAUACGAGGACUGUUGUCAAGGUGCAGUUACACGCUGAGGCAGAGUAGACAAACGCUUCUGGAGUGCUUGUGUGCUUUGGUUGUUGAUGACUCUGUAGAGGUAUCUGCAGGUGCACAAGAAUUCCUUGAAAAUUUAUUCUCAUCGAUUGAAGAUAAUCAAUUGGAACAUGAUGUUGCUCAGAUGUUUAGCAGGCUCAUUGACAAGCUUCCAAAAGUUGUCCUUGGGAGUGAGGGAUCACUUGCAGUCUCACAAGCUCAGCAGCUACUUGUAAUAAUGUACUAUUCUGGUCCUCAGUUUGUGGUGGAUCACAUCCUUCAGUCUCCGGUAACAGCUACUCGUUUCCUGGACCAUUUUUCUGUUUGUAUGAGUCAGAACUCGGUGUUUGCUGGUUCUCUUGAUAAGCUUAUUACCACAAGGCCAUCCUCAGUUGGAUAUCUUGACUCUGUUUCUGAGUUGAAUGCUGGAGCCAGUAUUACCAGCGAGUGCCUGACAAUAGUGGCUGCUGCUCCCCGAAAUUCAAAGAUUGCAGGCAUCCAGGAGAAAGAUAUACCAUACACAUCAGAUAAUGAUCAGAAGAAUUAUGAGAAUUAUAAGCUUCCGCGCAUGCCUCCUUGGUUCGUAUACAUUGGCAGUCAGAAACUUUACCAAACUCUUUCAGGAAUUCUUAGACUUGUAGGUUUAUCCUUGAUGACAGAUAAAAAACAUGGGCAGCAUUUGUCACACAUCACUGACAUACCAGUGGGUUACUUGCGUAAAUUAGUUUCUGAGGUUCGUAUGAAGGAUUAUAAUGAAGUGAGUUGGCACUCAUGGUAUAAUAGAACUGGUUCGGGACAGUUACUGCGCCAGGCGAGCACUGCAGUGUCUAUUCUUAAUGAGAUGAUAUUCGGUAUGUCAGAUCAAGCGACGGAUAUUUUCACAAGGAUGUUUCAAAAAGCGAGAAAAAGAAGGAAGAGGUUCAGGACUCUGAUGCAAGAUUUGCUGAUGGUCAACCUUUCAAAGUUGAAUCUUCCAUGCUUUUUGAAUCUAGUUGGAAUGUUUUAAAGGACGAGGAAUUAAGGAGUCACUUGAUUGAUUGUGUUGGUAGAAUUUUACUUGAGUAUUUAUCUCAUGAAGUAUGGGAUCUUCCAACAGAACAUAAAUCUUUAUCCAUGCAUCCUGACUAUGAUGCUGAAGAUAUUAAUCUAAACUUAUUUCAGGACACGGCUAUGCUACACCAGGUUAUCAUUGAAGGAAUAGGCAUAAUCAGUAUCUGCCUUGGAGGAGAUUUUGCUUCUAGUGGAUUUCUUCAUCAAUCCCUUUAUAUGUUGCUUGAAAAUCUGACUUCUUCAAACUAUCGUGUUAGAAGUGCUUCUGAUGGUGUAUUACAUAUCCUGGCUGCUGUAUCUGGCAUUCCAACAGUUGGGCACCUAGUACUAGCGAAUGCAGACUAUGUGAUUGAUUCUAUAUGUCGUCAAUUACGCCAUUUGGAGAUUAACCCUCAUGUGCCAAAUGUGCUGGCUGCCAUGCUUUCCUAUAUAGGAGUCGCGUAUAAAAUAUUGCCUCUAUUUGAGGAGCCGAUGCGCUCUGUUUCUUUGGAGCUCGAGAUUCUUGGCAGGCAUCAGCACCCUGAAUUGACAAUUUCCUUUUUAAAGGUCAUCUUUUGUACCAUACUGAGUUUCCUGUUACUGUAUCGUGAGUCCAUUUGUUUGGCUUUUUGGUUUCUGUUUUACCAGGAGCUAUUACAGCUGUAGUAAAGAAUGCUAUAGUCUAGUUUUCUUUUACUUAAAGAUUUCAUUAGAAUCCCUUCGCAUUCAGCAAGUAAAAUCCUCUCAUGGCAUACCUGGUGGGUUGGUGGGUUUUCCUUAGUUGAAAAAAAUCGCCAAGAGCUGUA